GACGAACGCUGGCGGCGUGCUUAACACAUGCAAGUCGAGCGGGAUCCAACCGGUGGCAACACCGGGGAAGAUCUAGCGGCGAACGGGUGAGUAACACGUGAGCAACCUGCCCCGAAGACUGGGAUAACACCGGGAAACCGGUGCUAAUACCGGAUGUCGUCAUUAGGCCGCAUGACCUGAUGAUGAAAGGAUUCAUCGCUUCGGGAGGGGCUCGCGGGCUAUCAGCUUGNGGUGGGGUAACGGCCUACCAAGGCGACGACGGCUAGCUGGUCUGAGAGGACGACCAGCCACACUGGGACUGAGACACGGCCCAGACUCCUACGGGGA
rnacentral:rRNA from 1 species